GACGUAGGGCGCGAGCGUUGUCCGGAUUUAUUGGGCGUAAAGAGCGUGUAGGCGGCCCGGUAAGUCCGCUGUGAAAGUCGGGGGCUCAACCCUCGAAUGCCGGUGGAUACUGUCGGGCUAGAGUGCGGAAGAGGCAAGUGGAAUUCCCGGUGUAGCGGUGAAAUGCGCAGAUAUCGGGAGGAACACCAAUGGCGAAGGCAGCUUGCUGGGACGGUACUGACGCUGAGACGCGAAAGCGUGGGGAGCAAACAGG
rnacentral:rRNA from 1 species